rnacentral:rRNA from 1 species
UGGGGAAUAUUGCACAAAUGGGGGAAACCCGUACGAUGCAGCGACGCCGCGUGAACGAAGAAGUAUUUCGGUAUGUAAAGUUCUAUCAGCAGGGAAGAUAAUGACGGUACCUGACUAAGAAGCACCGGCUAAAUACGUGCCAGCAGCCGCGGUAAUACGUAUGGUGCAAGCGUUAUCCAGAUUUACUGGGUGUAAAGGGAGCGCAGGCGGUGCGGCAAGUCUGAUGUGAAAGCCCCGGGGCUCAACCCCGGUACUGCAUUGGAAACUGUCGUACUAGAGUGUCGGAGGGGUAAGUGGAAUUCCUAGUGUAGCGGUGAAAUGCGUAGAUAUUAGGAGGAACACCAGUGGCGAAGGCGGCUUACUGGACGAUAACUGACGCUGAGGCUCGAAAGCGU